UACGUAGGGACCAAGCGUUGUUCGGAUUUACUGGGCGUAAAGGGCGCGUAGGCGGCGUGGUAAGUCACUUGUGAAAUCUCCGAGCUUAACUCGGAACGGUCAAAGUGAUACUGCUGUGCUAGAGUGCAGAAGGGGGCAAUCGGAAUUCUUGGUGUAGCGGUGAAAUGCGUAGAUAUCAAGAGGAACACCUGAGGUGAAGACGGGUUGCUGGGCUGACACUGACGUUUGAGGCGCGAAAGCUAGGGGUAGCAAAACGGGG
rnacentral:rRNA from 1 species